AUGAAAAAAGCCCAAGGCGAACAGCACAGCAGUGAGGGAUAUUGGUCAAUGGUCUAACGACUGAACCAGCAAUUUGGAAGAAUGUAUAAUAAAUAAAUUAUUUAAAGUUCUAGAUAAAAUAUUUAUAAUGACUAUUUAUUAUCUAUAAGUCUUGGCCAAAUUACGUGCCAGCAGCCGCGGUAAUACGUAAGAGACGAGUGUUAUUCAUCUUUAAUCGGUUUAAAGGGUACCUAGACGGAAAAUCAAGCUUAGUUAAGAUAAGGACUAGUUUUCUAGAGUUUGACACGAGAAGGUAUGAACUAUCAGAGGAGAGAUAAAAUUUGUCGAUACUGGUGGGACGGACAACGGCGAAGGCAAUCUUCUACUAAAAACUGACGUUGAGGGACGAAGCCUAGGGGAGCGAGAAGGAUUUGAUACCCUAGUAGUCCUAGGAGAAAAUUAUGAGUGCCAUAGACUUAUGUGAAAAAACAAAUUUGUGUAUUUUAUAUUUGAAAAAUAUACGCAAAUAUAAAACAAAUCUGUGUGUUUUAUAUUUGAAAAAUAUUCGCAAAUUUAAAUCACUGUGGGUUUAAAAAUGCGGUUUCAGAUUGUUCUGGGAUAUGAUGAGAAAAUUUUCCAAAUAAUAUUUUUAUUUGUUAAUAGUAGCGGUCUAUAAAUGAAAGUGUAAGCAUUCCACCUCAUGACUAAAGCGGCAACGCCCAAAUUGAAAUCAUUAGACCGUUUCUGAAACCAGUAGUGAAGUAUGUUAUUUAAUUCGAUGACCCGCGAAUAACCUUACCACGUUUUGAAUUUUUAAACAAGUGUUGCACGGCUGUCUUCAGUUAAUGUCGUGAGAUUUUGGUUUGUUCCAUUAAUUAACGAAAACCCUUGUUUCAUUUUUAUAUGAAAUAGUUCCCCGCUAUAUUGGAAAGAUAAGAGGGAUCAAGACAAGUCAUCANGGCCUUAAU
rnacentral:rRNA from 1 species